rnacentral:lncRNA from 1 species
GUGCAUCUGGUUCAUCCAAAUUUGACGCUGCAAGUCACCCGCUCCCAGGCUGACCCCGUGGUUAUGGGAUUGCUGAAUUGUGGGAUCAGACUCUUAUCAGCAGUCGGGGUAUGGCAGUAGAAAACUGCCCAGAUGCUGCUGCAAAGUCCAUGCACACGUGGGCACCUCCAUCUCCAACCAAUCUUGUGACCAAAUGAUAACUUCCCCUUGUUCCACCACCUCCCAGGCCUUGGCCAAUUGAGAUGGACUCGUGAGUCAGUGGAUCCUCUUCAGAGAGGGUCUUCCAGCUCACGUUUAUGAACAGAUGAAAUUAAAGCAG